UAAACAGAAACCUCUCUCUGUCUGAGGAGAACAGAAAGAUAGAAUGCUGUAAAUACUUUACUAAACACAGACCACCAAAGCCAUUGGAUUGAUGUGACAGUUGACCGUCCAACAACAGAAACUUAGUGAACCUCCUCCUGUUAACUGAUCUACUAACCAUGAAGAAAGAGAACCAUGUAGCACACCAGAACAAUGGAAUGCCACUUCAUUUUCCAAACUCAAGCAGAAGUACAAGACAUGAAGAAGACAUGGCGGCACACAUGGCUGGUUACCCUGUAAAUGCUCUUGGUGUGCAGCAGCCUCUGUGAGCAUCCUCUUAUUUUCUUGCAGCAGUCAGCCUUGGCAGCAGUUGCAGCACAGCAGAUAAACUCCAGCAGUAUCAGCAGCAACAACAGCAGCAAAUGCACUUAAGAUUUAUUUAGGAUUUUACCAGAACAAGUUUU